UUCCUACGGGACGCAGCAGUGGGGAAUAUUGGGCAAUGGACGUAAGUCUGACCCAGCAACGCCGCGUGAAGGAAGAAGGCUUUCGGGUUGUAAAGCUCUGUUGCGGGGGAAAAAAGGCAGCAUCAGGAAAUGGGUGCUGACUGAUGGUGCCCCGCCAGAAAGUCACGGCUAACUACGUGCCAGCAGCCGCGGUAAUACGUAGGUGGCGAGCGUUAUCCGGAAUGAUUGGGCGUAAAGGGUGCGCAGGCGGUCCUGCAAGUCUGGAGUGAAACGCAUGAGCUCAACUCAUGCAUGGCUUUGGAAAC
rnacentral:rRNA from 1 species